UGCAAGUCGAACGCCCCGCAAGGGGAGUGGCAGACGGGUGAGUAACGCGUGGGAAUCUACCGAGCCCUACGGAAUAACGCAUGGAAACGUGUGCUAAUACCGUAUACGCCCUUAGGGGGAAAGAUUUAUCGGGGUUUGAUGAGCCCGCGUUGGAUUAGCUAGUUGGUGGGGUAAAGGCCUACCAAGGCGACGAUCCAUAGCUGGUCUGAGAGGAUGAUCAGCCACAUUGGGACUGAGACACGGCCCAAACUCCUACGGGAGGCAGCAGUGGGGAAUAUUGGACAAUGGGCGCAAGCCUGAUCCAGCCAUGCCGCGUGAGUGAUGAAGGUCUUAGGAUUGUAAAGCUCUUUCACUGGAGAAGAUAAUGACGGUAUCCGGAGAAGAAGCCCCGGCUAACUUCGUGCCAGCAGCCGCGGUAAUACGAAGGGGGCUAGCGUUGUUCGGAAUUACUGGGCGUAAAGCGCACGUAGGCGGAUAUUUAAGUCAGGGGUGAAAUCCCAGAGCUCAACUCUGGAACUGCCUUUGAUACUGGGUAUCUAGAGUAUGGAAGAGGUGAGUGGAAUUCCGAGUGUAGAGGUGAAAUUCGUAGAUAUUCGGAGGAACACCAGUGGCGAAGGCGGCUCACUGGUCCAUUACUGACGCUGAGGUGCGAAAGCGUGGGGAGCAAACAGGAUUAGAUACCCUG
rnacentral:rRNA from 1 species